UCAGUUAGUGAGGUUUAAGCAAUGUGGUUUUAUUUUAAACUUGUUCCUUCCACAGGAGCAUCAAUAAAAGCCCUCCAGGAGUAGCUGUGGUUCUUUCCCUCCACAUGAGCACCAGGGGUAUGGAGCUCCCAGACUUAUUAACUACAGAGAGAGAGUAAGAGUCAGAACACAUUCAAUAAACUCCAGUGUGCUCAGGUGAGAGGAUAGGUGCCUGAACUCACAUCUGAAGAAGAACUUAGAGGAUGCUUUCUCACUCUGCUUCAUGCCUCUGAGUAAGCAGUCCUGGACACCCCCGUUACGGCCACGGAAUAACACAGGCAGCCUUGAUGGACCAGAAAUCCUCCUAUGUCCAUCAUUUGUACAGAGCAAACUGGCUUAAGACCUCUCGUUUCCUGCUGCAGUGGUAAUUUACAGACAUACAGAACUGCCAUCUAGUGACUAAGAAGAAAACAGCAAGGUGCUUUACAUGGAAAAUGAAAUUGUGAGUUUUUUAAAAAAGAACAGUGAAGCACUAAAGUUGGUAAAGUUGACACAAAGUUGACACAAUGUGACACACGAAAGUUAUAGUAAAACUGAAAAAUGUGUAGGUGAAGUAAUCAGUUGUUCUCUCUGCCUCUAAAACAUGUCUUCACAUCUGACUCAUAAAUAGUAUAGUUUAAAUAUAAUAGAAUAACUUUGGAAAUAAACUUCUCAUCUCAUCUCA